AUAUUUUGGAACUGAGUUUAGUUCCUUCGAUAUCAAAGCAAUCUGGUAAAAAAAUGAUUACCAGAUUGCAUUGAUAUCGAAGGAACUAGACUCAGUUCCGAAAUAU